GUGUCAGCAGCCGCGGUAAUACGAAGGGUGCUAGCGUUAUUCGGAUUUAUUGGGCGUAAAGGGUGCGCAGGCUGUGCAUUAAGUCAGCUGUCAAAUUUCCCAGCUUAACUGGGAGCCGGCAGCAGAUACUGGUGUGCUUGAGGGUGGAAGAGAGAAGUGGAAUUCUCGGAGUAGCGGUAAAAUGCGUAGAUCUCGAGAGGAACACCAAUGGCGAAGGCAGCUUCUUGGUCCAUUCCUGACGCUCAUGCACGAAAGCGUGGGGAGCAAACAGGAUUAGAUACCCUGGUAGUCC
rnacentral:rRNA from 1 species